rnacentral:rRNA from 1 species
UACAGGGGGGGCAAGCGUUGUUCGGAAUUACUGGGCGUAAAGGGUGCGUAGGCGGGUCUUUAAGUCAGGGGUGAAAUCCUGGAGCUCAACUCCAGAACUGCCUUUGAUACUGAGGAUCUUGAGUACGGGAGAGGUGAGUGGAACUGCGAGUGUAGAGGUGAAAUUCGUAGAUAUUCGCAAGAACACCAGUGGCGAAGGCGGCUCACUGGCCCGUUACUGACGCUGAGGCACGAAAGCGUGGGGAGCAAACAGG